ACGCUCGACACCUACGGGAUGCAGCAGUCGGGAAUAUUGCGCAAUGGAGGGAACUCUGACGCAGUGACGCCGCGUAUAGGAAGAAGGUUUUCGGAUUGUAAACUAUUGUCGUUAGGGAAGAGAAAGGACAGUACCUAAGGAGGAAGCUCCGGCUAACUACGUGCCGGCAGCCGCGGUAAUCUGAGCGGGCUGGCAAGGC
rnacentral:rRNA from 1 species